GCCAAUGAUAAGCAGAAAGCAUCAGAGACCCUAAAAAGCUGUCUGAACCAGGGGGAGCAGACGGAAAUCCAAGGGAAAGGUAGAAUAUUUUGCCCCAGGCUUGGAUUCUUGUAAGUGGCACUUUACAAAAAUUUUCUCCACUUGUCUGAAGGGGAGCAAAUGGGGGCCACCCAUCAGGCCUGCUCAAUCUCCUGUGUAACUUCUUAAUAGACUAUUUAUAGCCUCAGGUUGUUGCAGCAACAUUGCGCAAUUGCUGUGUGGGUGGAGAGGAUGGUGGAUCUGAGCCCAGCUGGGUGAGUGACCGUCUCCUGGCUGCUUCCUGUUGGCUUAGGAAAGAACAGAAGAAGGUGGAUUUGUUUGUCGGUUGAGCAACCAGCCACUGCCUGGCCUGUGCCUGAUUUUGUCCCUUUAAACAUUAACUGCCUCUUAAAACAUUGGUGUUCUAUGCCCAAGGCCAAUGGGGCGCCCAAGAGAAAGGAGAGGAGGAAAGAGUAGAAGAGAGGGAGGGAGGGUUUGUUACAUCAACAAUUUAUUCAUUCCACUAAUACUGCAGAGUGUCCAUGGUGACCCACCCAUCGUCCCAAGACCCAGCUCUGGAGAACUGAAGAGAACAUGAUUCUCAUCCUAGAGACACACAGUCUAGCAGAGGAGACAGACAAGUAAACACAAGAUGACAAGGAAAGGCUAAGCCCUAGACUGUCCCUGUGCCUUCUCAGCAUCUCCCUUUACUAAAGAAGUUUCCUUGGGAGAUGGAGGAUGAGAUCAGAGAAUUAAAAGUUUCCAGGUUCCUUGUCCCCAGGACAGUGGUUCUCAACCUGUAGUGAGCAAAAAGUGACCUGGAAGAGUUAUUUAAAAUGCAACUCCCAGCUCUGCAGGACUGUGUCAGUGGGUCUGCAGCAAGCCCAGGGCUCUGCAUUGAUCCAGCCAUCCAAGGGAAUUCAGAUGGAGGUGGCCUGUGACCACAAGAGGGCCACCAGAGGUUGAUGGAAAAAAAUUGGACGAAAGGAAGAGGGAGCUUAAAGAUGAUUAAGGGCAGAAAACAGAAAAAGAGAAAACCCAGUUUUCAAGAGAGAAAAGAAAGUUUUCUCUAAGAAUUGAGCUAAUAUUACCAGGGGCCCUGGGACGACUCAGCUAACUAGUGUCCAUGACUUAGCCAUGACUUUCUUAUAUUUAUCUUUUAAACAAGACGACUUUUCUUAAACAGUACAAAGAAAUGGACAGAGAGAUAGCUCUGUUAGAGCCUUGGGUGGGCAUCAAUAGCACCUGUGGAACCCAGCCUUUGCUAAUCCACAAGCGGAGGCUGAAUAAAGCCAUGGGCUAUGGGAAGGGGGCCGUCCUGGAGAAGGCACACUCACUUGACACUGUCUUCAGUAAUGCCUGGUUCUGGGCAGCUCUGUUUAAUUGCACCUCUCCCUCCACAACCCCCCAGGCUAGUCUACCCCAGGGCAGUGUCUAGCUGGGGUAGACACCUGAAAAGGCUGAAGGGCACCAAGCUACAAAGAGCCUGAGCGGUGAUGGCCAUGAGCAAUUUCCAGGUGGGCUACAGAGCUUCCUCUUCCCCCUGACUGCACCAAGGCUGCUCUCUUUCUGAAACUGAUUUAGGCCCAAAGCUGAGCGGCUGGGGUGUGACUGGAGUGACCCUAGCACCAUCUGGUUCUCCCAUGGUGCCAGGUAGGAUGCUUCUGUUUAUCCCUAAAGCCCACUUUCCCACCUCUCUCUGAAAGGAUGCCUCCUCCCUCGUUCUUUAGCUCCUGCCCUAGUAUGACCUUCCCUGUGACUCUCCUUUAACUAUAUCCUUUCCCACUUGGGGUCCUCAUCCUAUGGAUUCUGUCCCGUGAGCCCCACCUAUCCAACUACAAGUUCAGGGGAGCUUGUCUUCUGGGAGUCAGUAAAGCACCUCAGUUAGGAACUAGGGCUGACCUGGGUCAGGAACACAACGCAGUCACCUGCCAGCUCUGGAAUCUCGGGCGAGUUACUUCCCUGUUCUAAAUUUCAGUUUCCUUACCUAUAAAAUGGGCAAACAAUUGUACUUAUGACUAAGGUUAAAUGAGCUAAUACUUAGCCCAGUGCCAUUGUAGCCCUCCAUAAAUGUUUGCUCUUCUCCCCAUGCAUAUGUACAUCCUUACUUUUACCCUAAUCGCCAUGGAUUUAGGACAGAGCUGAUGCUCAUUAAUGUUUAUUGAAUUAGCAGUUAAGACGUGUAAACAUCACUGGAUCUGUUCAUUAGUACAUUUUAAGAAGAAGUGGGUAACUUGGCAUUUUCCCUUAUUUCAUCAAUAUUUGAUGGUGCUUUCUCUAUUUGAGGAUUUGUUUAGGGUGGAAUGAAUCCGAAUAAGCUCAGGCAGGCUUUUCGUAAUCAUUCUUCUUUUGUGUCCAUUGAUUCAGUGUGUUUUCCUCACUUCUGUUCCCAUCCUCACAUUUGCGGUCCUCCUUCUGGAGGAAUAAAUCAGACCACAGUAGCCAUUUAAAAGUACUUUCAACUGCUUCUAAGUUCUCUAGAGGAAAAUAGCUACAGAAUGCUGUUAAGGCUGUUAGAAAUUUCGAAUUACGCUUCUCCCGCUGUCCCUUUCCACCAUGUGAGAUGCAAUGGGGAGAACUAAGUAAACACCAAAGUCCCUUUUAAUUGCAAUGGUCCGUGAUCUCUUUUGUGCACAGCUGGACUUUUAAGCUCAAAAAGGUAAAGCAACUUUUGUAAACAAACAUAAUUUAAGGACUAGUCCUGACUCCCUGUUGGGGAUCAUCUCAGAAAGAAAAUAGGUACGACCUCCACUGCUUGCCAUUUGCUGGAUAUCUUCACUCCUUGCCUGGAAUUACCAGAGGCUGUUUGCACGGCUGCGCUCAAUGUCCAGACGUUUGGUUUAGAUCCCUUUAUGUUCAAGGAUUCUGAGGAAUGAUAAUGAAGGCGAAUUGAGCUUAGACUGAACAAGCUCCUCUUAGAGAUCUUAAUCAAAUAAUCAAAGGUUAAACAUGAAGAGGAAACAUAAAAGUGAGGGAAAAACUGGUAACAAUUUACGAGCUUUUCUUUCCCUCCAGGAGAAGCUGAGAAUGAGCCUCAUCUAUGCCAGGGAGGCUGAAGUGGGGGAGUGCACCCAGCCUCCCCCAGGUGGGAGGUCCCUGAGUCAAGGAGCCCCUCACAGUGGGAGGAGGCCCCCCUCAUCCCAGAAGGCAGGCCUGGGGACAGUCCUGUGCCCUGUUUCUCCAUCCCUGUCUUAUCCAGCAUGGCUCACUGUGAAUGCAGUCCUGGGCUGCUAUUUCUCACCCUCUUUUAGUCCAUUCUCUUUUUGAAAAACAAUUUUUAAAAAUCUCAUAUGUAUCUCUUUUCCCAGAGAUUGUGAUAAGCAACCACUGGGCCCAGGCUUUUUCCAUCGACCCACAUGGCAUGGCCAAUGCCGGCUCUGGCUCCUCCCUCUUGCCACUCCCCAUUGAUUGCUGAUGAUCGGUUAUUGGUACAGUUUUGGAGGAAAUGAAUCUGACUAGGAACCAUGAGGUUGCGGGUUCAAUCCCUGGACUUGCUCAGUGGGUUAAGGAUCCGGCAUUGCUGUAAGCUGUGCUGUGGGUCGCAGAUGUGGCUC
rnacentral:lncRNA from 1 species